rnacentral:tRNA from 1 species
GCCCGGGUGGCGGAACUGGCAGACGCGAGGGACUCAAAAUCCCUUGCCCCUUGCGGGCGUGCGGGUUCAAAUCCCGCCCCGGGCACCA